rnacentral:lncRNA from 1 species
AUAAGGGGGAACUGUGGUGAGCCGUGUUGUAGACCGUUGCCGCCAUUAGAAGAUGGCGCCGGUCUCCGUUGUAGAUCUUGGUAAACAACUCCUUAUUAGGAAAAGUUGGUGCGCUGUCCCUCAACACCCUAUGAGAAAAGUGGCAGCUUUGGAUUGGACUUGAGUAAGCUUUAUUAGGCUGUGUGUGGGUGCUUGGGGAGGAGCGCGCUUGAGAGAAAGCUAGAGUUAAGGCCUGAAUAAACCGCUGAAAGAAGAA